rnacentral:snoRNA from 12 species
UCGCAGACAGUUAUCCCUCACUGACCUGACGUGCUCAGUGAGGGAGUCAGUCUGCAAGAGGAACUUUCGGGUUUGAGCUACUUCACUCUGCUGUUUGCUGAGCUGCAGCUCACCUGAGAACAGUGU